rnacentral:rRNA from 1 species
AGUGAACGCUGGCGGUAGGCCUAACACAUGCAAGUCGAGCGGCAGCACAGUAAGAGCUUGCUCUUACGGGUGGCGAGUGGCGGACGGGUGAGGAAUACAUCGGAAUCUACUUUUUCGUGGGGGAUCACGUAGGGAAACUUACGCUAAUACCGCAUACGACCUACGGGUGAAAGCAGGGGAUCUUCGGACCUUGCGCGAUUGAAUGAGCCGAUGUCGGAUUAGCCAGUUGGCGGGGUAAAGGCCCACCAAGGCGACGAUCCGUAACUGGUCUGAGAGGAGGAUCAGCCACACUGGAACUGAGACACGGUCCAGACUCCUACGGGAGGCAGCAGUGGGGAAUAUUGGACAAUGGGCGCAAGCCUGAUCCAGCCAUACCGCGUGGGUGAAGAAGGCCUUCGGGUUGUAAAGCCCUUUUGUUGGGAAAGAAAAGCAGCAGGUUAAUACCCCGCUGUUCUGACGGUACCCAAAGAAUAAGCACCGGCUAACUUCGUG